rnacentral:tRNA from 1 species
UCCCUGUUGGCUCAGAGAGUAAAGAAUCUGCCUGCAAUGCAGGGGACCCAGGUUCGAUCCCUGGGUCGGGAA